UUUUUCUCAAUUCUUCUUCAUGUUUUUAUUUUUGUUUUCCCUCUAACAUUUGGAUUCCCAUUUCGAGCAACUCCCCUUCAAUUUGCGCCCACCCCCACUUUUCUCAGUAAUCUUCAGCUUGGAAUCUUGUUAGGACUUUUGUGUAUCAAAUCCUUCUUCUAUUGCAGCUAGAGUAAGCAGCUGCACUUGGGUGAAAAUGGCAACCUGUUCCAUUCCAGCCUCGUUUACAAGUAUCAGAAGCAAGGACCAUCACGACGUUGGAUUUGCUAAGAGUUUAGAUUUUGUUAGGGUUUCAAACUUGCAAAGGGUGAAAUUCCGCCGGAGAAGGGUUGCUGUGAUCAGAAAUGUUGCAAAUCCUGGUUCCGAAACUGUUGAACUUGAGCCGGCAUCAGAUGGAAGCCCACUAUUAGUUCCGAGACAGAGAUAUUGUGAAUCUGUUUACAAAACUGUAAGGAGGAAAACCUGCACAGUGAUGGUCGGGAAUGUGGCUCUUGGUAGUGAGCAUCCGAUCAGAAUUCAAACAAUGACCACAACAGACACAAAGGAUGUAGCUGCGACAGUUGAACAGGUGAUGAGAAUAGCAGACCAAGGAGCAGAUAUUGUUAGAAUAACUGUUCAAGGGAAAAAAGAAGCAGAUGCAUGUUUCGAAAUUAAAAAUUCUCUUGUCCAGAAAAACUACAACAUCCCUCUGGUAGCAGACAUUCAUUUUGCCCCAUCUGUUGCGCUUCGAGUUUCUGAAUGCUUUGAUAAAAUUCGUGUUAAUCCAGGAAAUUUUGCUGACCGGAGAGCACAGUUUGAGAAGCUGGAGUAUACAGAUGAUGAUUAUCAAAAAGAACUUGAGCACAUUGAGCAGGUUUUCACUCCAUUAGUUGAGAAAUGCAAGAAGUACGGACGGGCAAUGAGAAUUGGAACAAAUCAUGGUAGUCUUUCAGAUCGAAUCAUGAGCUACUAUGGGGACUCACCCAGGGGAAUGGUCGAGUCUGCAUUUGAGUAUGCAAGAAUUUGCCGGAAACUAGACUUCCACAACUUUGUAUUCUCAAUGAAAGCAAGCAACCCGGUGAUUAUGGUCCAGGCAUAUCGCCUUCUCGUAGCUGAAAUGAAUGUUCUGGGAUGGGAUUACCCAUUACAUUUAGGAGUAACUGAAGCUGGUGAGGGUGAAGAUGGACGAAUGAAAUCUGCUAUAGGUAUUGGGACACUUCUUAUGGAUGGUUUAGGUGAUACUAUUCGAGUUUCCUUAACUGAAGCUCCGGAAGAAGAGAUAGAUCCUUGUCGAAGAUUAGCUAAUCUUGGCAUGAAAGCAGCUGAGCUUCAGAAAGGAGUGGCACCAUUUGAAGAAAAAUACAGACACUACUUUGAUUUCCAGCGCAGGAGUGGUCAAUUGCCUGUUCAAAAGGAGGGUGAAGAGGUUGAUUACCGAGGUGUACUUCACCGUGAUGGCUCUGUUUUGAUGUCUGUAUCAUUGGAUCAGUUGAAGGCACCCGAACUUCUGUACAGGUCUCUAGCAGCAAAACUUGUUCUCGGAAUGCCAUUUAAGGAUCUGGCAACUGUGGACUCAAUAUUGGUGAGAGAACUUCCGCCACUAGACGAUAAAGAUGCUCGUCUGGCUCUCAAACGAUUGAUUGAUGUUAGUAUGGGAGUUAUAGUUCCUGUAAAUGAGCAGCUGACAAAACCGUUGCCGAAUGCCAUGGCUUUGGUAUCUCUGGCUGACUUGAGCACUGGCACCCACAAGCUUCUUUCAGAAGGUACUCGUUUGGUAGUCACUGUACGUGGCGAUGAGCCUGAAGAAUAUCUAAAAAUUCUCAAGAGUGUUGAUGUUACAAUGAUCCUUCACAAUGUACCAUACUAUGAUGAAAAAACUGGGAGAGUUCAGGCUGCAAGAAGGCUUUUCGAAUAUCUUUCCGAGAACUCCUUGAAUUUUCCAGUAAUUCAUCAUAUAAAAUUCCCAGACCAGAUUCACAGGGACGAUUUAGUCAUUGAUGCCGGUACAAGUGCUGGAUCACUUCUAGUAGACGGACUUGGAGACGGUGUCCUGUUGGAAGCUCCCGAUCAGGACUUUGAGUUCCUCAGAAACACUUCCUUCAAUUUGUUACAAGGCUGCCGAAUGCGAAACACAAAGACUGAAUACGUUUCGUGCCCAUCAUGUGGAAGAACUCUGUUUGAUCUUCAAGAGAUAAGUGCGCAAAUUAGGGAGAAGACAUCUCAUUUACCCGGCGUUUCGAUCGCCAUCAUGGGUUGCAUUGUGAACGGGCCAGGAGAAAUGGCAGAUGCAGAUUUCGGCUACGUGGGCGGUGCUCCCGGAAAAAUUGAUCUUUAUGUUGGGAAGACGGUGGUGAAGCGAGGCAUUGCGAUGGAAGAGGCGACGGAUGCGCUGAUCGAGCUGAUCAAAGAGCACGGCCGAUGGGUUGACCCACCUGCAGAUGAACAAGAAGGAUGAAGAAAUAGUUACAGGGUGUUAGGUUUGAUUGGAGGUUUACCCAGAGCGCACUCGACUAGUAGCAACUGACAUGGAAAUGAAGAUGGAGGCUAUAAGAGAGAAAAUAAAUCAAUUUGCCUAUGAAGAAUAUUUUUAAUUUGGAUGAAAUAGGUCUGUUUUAUAAGUUACAAGUCGAUCACUCUCUUGCAACCAAGCAACUUGAAGGAAAAAAGAAAGACAAAUAGAGAUUUACGAUUGUUAUUUGUUGCAACGAGGAUAUUUCGAAAAAAAAUCCUUUUUUUUAUGAAUUAUUGAAAAGUAUGUAAAGACACUUUGCUUCAAAAAUAUCAAUAAAAGCAACAUUAAUUGUCA